UACGAAGGGGGCUAGCGUUGCUCGGAAUCACUGGGCGUAAAGGGCGCGUAGGCGGCCAUUCAAGUCGGGGGUGAAAGCCUGUGGCUCAACCACAGAAUUGCCUUCGAUACUGUUUGGCUUGAGUAUGGUAGAGGUCAGUGGAACUGCGAGUGUAGAGGUGAAAUUCGUAGAUAUUCGCAAGAACACCAGUGGCGAAGGCGGCUGACUGGACCAUUACUGACGCUGAGGCGCGAAAGCGUGGGGAGCAAACAGG
rnacentral:rRNA from 1 species